UUAAGCGACUAAGCGUACACGGUGGAUGCCCUGGCAGUCAGAGGCGAUGAAGGACGUGCUAAUCUGCGAAAAGCGUCGGUAAGGUGAUAUGAACCGUUAUAACCGGCGAUGUCCGAAUGGGGAAACCCAGUGUGAUUCGUCACACUAUCGUUAACUGAAUACAUAGGUUAACGAGGCGAACCGGGGGAACUGAAACAUCUAAGUACCCCGAGGAAAAGAAAUCAACCGAGAUUCCCCCAGUAGCGGCGAGCGAACGGGGAGCAGCCCAGAGUCUGAAUCAGCUUGUGUGUUAGUGGAACGGUCUGGAAAGUCCGACGGUACAGGGUGAUAGUCCCGUACACCAAAAUGCACAGGCUGUGAACUCGAAGAGUAGGGCGGGACACGUGGUAUCCUGUCUGAAUAUGGGGGGACCAUCCUCCAAGGCUAAAUACUCCUGACUGACCGAUAGUGAACCAGUACCGUGAGGGAAAGGCGAAAAGAACCCCGGCGAGGGGAGUGAAAAAGAACCUGAAACCGUGUACGUACAAGCAGUGGGAGCACCUUCGGGUGUGACUGCGUACCUUUUGUAUAAUGGGUCAGCGACUUAUAUUCUGUAGCAAGGUUAACCGUAUAGGGGAGCCGCAGGGAAACCGAGUCUUAACUGGGCGUUAAGUUGCAGGGUAUAGACCCGAAACCCGGUGAUCUAGCCAUGGGCAGGUUGAAGGUUGGGUAACACUAACUGGAGGACCGAACCGACUAAUGUUGAAAAUUAGCGGAUGACUUGUGGCUGGGGUGAAAGGCCAAUCAAACCGGGAGAUAGCUGGUUCUCCCCGAAAGCUAUUUAGGUAGCGCCUCGUGAAUUCAUCUUCGGGGGUAGAGCACUGUUUCGGCUAGGGGGUCAUCCCGACUUACCAACCCGAUGCAAACUACGAAUACCGAAGAAUGUUAUCACGGGAGACACACGGCGGGUGCUAACGUCCGUCGUGAAGAGGGAAACAACCCAGACCGCCAGCUAAGGUCCCAAAGUCAUGGUUAAGUGGGAAACGAUGUGGGAAGGCACAGACAGCCAGGAUGUUGGCUUAGAAGCAGCCAUCAUUUAAAGAAAGCGUAAUAGCUCACUGGUCGAGUCGGCCUGCGCGGAAGAUGUAACGGGGCUAAACCAUGCACCGAAGCUGCGGCAGCGACACUAUGUGUUGUUGGGUAGGGGAGCGUUCUGUAAGCCUGCGAAGGUGACCUGUGAGGGUUGCUGGAGGUAUCAGAAGUGCGAAUGCUGACAUAAGUAACGAUAAAGCGGGUGAAAAGCCCGCUCGCCGGAAGACCAAGGGUUCCUGUCCAACGUUAAUCGGGGCAGGGUGAGUCGACCCCUAAGGCGAGGCCGAAAGGCGUAGUCGAUGGGAAACAGGUUAAUAUUCCUGUACUUGGUGUUACUGCGAAGGGGGGACGGAGAAGGCUAUGUUAGCCGGGCGACGGUUGUCCCGGUUUAAGCAUGUAGGCUGGUUGUCCAGGCAAAUCCGGAUAAUCAAGGCUGAGGUGUGAUGACGAGGCACUACGGUGCUGAAGUAACAAAUGCCCUGCUUCCAGGAAAAGCCUCUAAGCAUCAGGUAACAUCAAAUCGUACCCCAAACCGACACAGGUGGUCAGGUAGAGAAUACCAAGGCGCUUGAGAGAACUCGGGUGAAGGAACUAGGCAAAAUGGUGCCGUAACUUCGGGAGAAGGCACGCUGGUGUGUAGGUGAAGUCCCUGCGGAUGGAGCUGAGACCAGUCGAAGAUACCAGCUGGCUGCAACUGUUUAUUAAAAACACAGCACUGUGCAAACACGAAAGUGGACGUAUACGGUGUGACGCCUGCCCGGUGCCGGAAGGUUAAUUGAUGGGGUUAUCCGUAAGGAGAAGCUCUUGAUCGAAGCCCCGGUAAACGGCGGCCGUAACUAUAACGGUCCUAAGGUAGCGAAAUUCCUUGUCGGGUAAGUUCCGACCUGCACGAAUGGCGUAAUGAUGGCCAGGCUGUCUCCACCCGAGACUCAGUGAAAUUGAACUCGCUGUGAAGAUGCAGUGUACCCGCGGCAAGACGGAAAGACCCCGUGAACCUUUACUAUAGCUUGACACUGAACAUUGAGCCUUGAUGUGUAGGAUAGGUGGGAGGCUUUGAAGCGUGGACGCCAGUCUGCGUGGAGCCAACCUUGAAAUACCACCCUUUAAUGUUUGAUGUUCUAACGUUGGCCCCUGACCGGGGUUGCGGACAGUGUCUGGUGGGUAGUUUGACUGGGGCGGUCUCCUCCCAAAGCGUAACGGAGGAGCACGAAGGUUAGCUAAUCCUGGUCGGACAUCAGGAGGUUAGUGCAAUGGCAUAAGCUAGCUUGACUGCGAGCGUGACGGCGCGAGCAGGUGCGAAAGCAGGUCAUAGUGAUCCGGUGGUUCUGAAUGGAAGGGCCAUCGCUCAACGGAUAAAAGGUACUCCGGGGAUAACAGGCUGAUACCGCCCAAGAGUUCAUAUCGACGGCGGUGUUUGGCACCUCGAUGUCGGCUCAUCACAUCCUGGGGCUGAAGUAGGUCCCAAGGGUAUGGCUGUUCGCCAUUUAAAGUGGUACGCGAGCUGGGUUUAGAACGUCGUGAGACAGUUCGGUCCCUAUCUGCCGUGGGCGCUGGAGAAUUGAGGGGGGCUGCUCCUAGUACGAGAGGACCGGAGUGGACGCAUCACUGGUGUUCGGGUUGUCAUGCCAAUGGCACUGCCCGGUAGCUAAAUGCGGAAGAGAUAAGUGCUGAAAGCAUCUAAGCACGAAACUUGCCCCGAGAUGAGUUCUCCCUGAGACUUUAAGUCUCCUGAAGGAACGUUGAAGACGACGACGUUGAUAGGCCGGGUGUGUAAGCGCAGCGAUGCGUUGAGCUAACCGGUACUAAUGAACCGUGAGGCUUAACCU
rnacentral:rRNA from 1 species